AACCGGAGCCGACCGGGCUGUCCACGGGGAAUCAUCCACCCUCUCCCGGCGUAACUAAAGGUCACACAGCGAACAGCAGAGGUACGGCUUUUAAAUGCACCGCUGCCCUUUAACGGCAUCUGAGGCGGGACGCCAGUGCAUUCUCCUCACACAUGAACCUCACGCAGAUGAGGAGAAUACCACUGACAGCAGUUCAAAAGGGCAAUCGGACAGAUAAUUCCGUCCAAAUGCAAGCUCUUCAUUGAGAUUAAUGACUCCAGCACCUCUCAUAUUUGAUCAAUGUUGUCACAUGUUUCACUUGGGAAGUUUUGGCACUUCAUGCUAAAUUAAUGCUAACUUGCUUAUGUGAAGUUUUGAAUGAGUUGAAUGACGGGAUGUGGGAGUUUUGCUUCAUUACUUUGGAGCGGCAGUGGACUCUCACCAUUUGCCUGGCUAUGUCCAUUGUGCGGAACAGGGUGAUUUAGCCUCACAAAUUUAAAGUUUACUCUUGUAGACAUUGUGAUUCAUCAGCAUCUUUUACCUUGACACUAUUCAUCGCUCGCUUCAGUCGGCAAGUGUUCUUCCACGACCGGUGCUUUGUGUCUCGCUGCACUUUUGUUUUUCGACUUUUUGGAGUCACUGUUUACUCAGUCAGUCGUUUCAUCUGAAGAAGCAAAAUCACUCCCAGUGCUAGCCAAGUGUGUUAUUUGAAACCAUUCGAUUCUGUCAUUUAGUAGUUAGCUUGUAGGGAGGUUGCUGAAUUCCAACAUGCUCAUUUGAAGUUCUAAAUAAGGUGAACAAUGAGACCUGUUCAAGUGUGUUAUUUGAAACCAUUUGGUUCUGUCAUUUAGUAGUUAGCUUGUAGGGAGGUUGCUGAAUUCCAACAUGCUCAUUUGAAGUUCUAAAUAAGGUGAACAAUGAGA